GUCACCGGGUGAAGAUGAGCCCUUCCACGCUUUGCGCGCAGCCCGCCGCGCGGCCAAGCUCUUGGAUAAAGACUGCUGGCAGAUCAGAAAAGGAUGCGCAGGAGAUGAAGAAGUUUCACCUUGAAGUAUGGACCAAACUGUAUUUGAAUCCCUCAGAGGAACAGAGGAGCACCAAGAGGUUGCGCUGCUUUAGAGACAACACUACUGUCAGCUACUUCUCCAGCAUUACAUCUUCCUGCAUUCUGCAGUGCUUCCCACCAUGAUGAAAACUGACAAAACCUCUGAAUGGGAUCAGAUUCAUGAAAGUAAAAAGACAAGAAAUGCCAAUUUUAAAAUUCAAGAGAAAAAGACCAUGAACUUCUACUCCCCACCUCCAAUUCACCAGCUCAUAAUACCCUGAAGUCAGAUUCACUGAAUGACUUAUCUGCUGUGUGCCAACUCUGUGACCCUGAGCUGUGGGGAGAUCACUAAAGGGAGCAGGGAGCUGGUGAUAGAAAAUAUGCCCUGUGAAGAUGUUGGAGUGAUAAACAAAUGGAUGGACCUGUCAGUUCUUUAGAAAACACAAUGAACAAGAAAUACAGACACUGAAUCUAAGAAAAUCAGUACAUCAUUAGAUUAGUUUUACAUUUCCCUUUAUAGUUUUAGCCAUCAUCUAACUUAUGUGAAUAUUCCAGAACCAAUUUGAUUAAAUAAACACAUUUUAAUGUUUUAGAGUGUGUGUAGCUGCUGUUGAUUACAUUAAAUGUGAUCAGUUUUACUUUGUGUUCUGAUUCCUGCUCCUGUCAAAAAUGCCAAUGUGAACUAGAACAUGGCACAUGAAUCUUUUGGAAAGGGUGGGGAGUCAUUCAGUGGCCUCACAUUUUCCUUUUUAAAUACCUAUUAUGUGCUAAUAAUUUGAUAUUAUCUGAGACUAAGAUGUUGUACAAAAAAAUGAUAUAUUCCUUGCUUGUACUGAAUUCAUAUUCUGACAUGGUAAAAUAUGAUAUAGAAAUGUUUUAUCAUAUUUUAAUAUGAUUUCAUUUUAAAUACAUGGCAAAAUAUUUUAUUCAAGAAAGAGUUAAUGAUAUAUUUUACAACAUUAAAUCUAGAAUAGAAAUGCAUUCUGGAACUCAAACAUCUAUGAAACAUCCCAUGAAAUAGGAUGCCAUGAUUCCAUUUGUGACCAGGGCAGACAUUAUUAAUUUAUCAACAAAUUUUUUUUCACUGAAUCUUUGUGUGCAUGGACUUAAGCUGUUACAACAUGCUCUCUGGAUAGGCAGGUCUCACUACUAGAAUAUUCAUAUGUAAUUUGCUAAAUAGUAUAACUCUGGUACUAAGGAUCAUUUUAUUAAGUGACCACAGGUAAAAGAUCUUCUCCCAGGGUCAAAGCUUGGACCCUAGUCCUGUUUUCAUAGAUAUCUUGGUAAUCCUCUUAACAUUUUCUCACUAUUAUAGACCACCUCAACUUGGAGGCUUUAGGGUUCUAUUUUCAUGAUGGUUUUCAUUUCUUUUUUAAGUACCAGUUUGUGGCAUUGGUUGUUGUUUGAGAGAUCUCCUGCUUCCAUACCUAAUGAAAAUCUCUGAUGUCCACACUGUGGUUUCAAGUGUUGAAAUUACAAAUAACCACACUAUAUUCUUCAGCUUGGAACUGAGGUGACAAGUGGAGGCGGCUGGAAGAUUUGUUUCCUGUGGACACUGGAAAGUCAUCAUAGCCAAAUUGAUUCCCAUUUUGCUUAGAUCCUAACUGGAAUUUUAAGUUCUGAGCAGGAGUAAAAUAAGCCUGAAUUCUGAUUGUUGUUUUGUGGGGCUGGAUAUUUUAAUAUUAGGAUUUUGCUUCCCCAAAAGUCUUCUGAAGCAUACUGAUAAACUGUCACCAUCUUAGCAGUUUUAUUUAAAAGCCCAUUAGGGAGCUAAAACAAUUGUCUUCUAGGAAAGAAGAAAACGCUGUCAAAAUUGCCAAAUUUUUGUUGACUAAUUUCAUCUGCAAUGGCAGUCUUGCUUCACAUCCUCAUUCCCAGUGAAGUCAAAUAAUUGCAAGAUGGAACGUUAGCAAAAUCUCAUAUUCAAAUUGCUUAAUAAUAAUAUCUAAUGUAUACAGGACAAAAUAUAUGUUUUAACGAUUUUUAAUCUCAUUUGAAACUUCACUCACACAUUUGCAUAAUAUACACAAAUAGCAUAAGGCCAGCCAAAGAAAAGAGGCUAGAAAUUAAAUUCAUUCCCAGAUAUGAGUCCUUCCAAAAGUCCUUCCAUUUGGAUAAUGUCAUCCUUUCCUUUUUUGUGUCCAGGAAGAAAGGGAGGAGGGUCAUAAUUUUUCCAGUGUUCAAGGAAUACAGGAAAGAAGCAUGUAAUAGCAUCCUGACAAUUAUAGACCAAUUUCAGGAUUCAAGUAAAUAAGCCCAUAAUUAUAUAAACCAUGAAUGAAUAUGCAGAUGAUGAAACAGACUUUCUUCCUUAGAGAAUAGCACCUAGGAGAAUUAGAAGAAAUGGAGUUAUUUGGAAAACCUGGACAUUACAAUCACAAGGAGCAUAGGCUGAUACCACUGAGAUUUAUUAAUAGGAAAAUUCGUGAUCCAGAUUUUCAGAUUCAUAACAUUUCAAAUGAUCUCAUUAUCACUGUAUUCUCAAUAAAGAUACUGGAUAUUAGUGAAAACAUAAAAAACAUGUGUUGGG
rnacentral:lncRNA from 1 species